UGCCCACUAGCUCAAUCUGGAGGAGCACCCGUCUGAUACGCGGUAGGUUCUCGGUUCAAAUCCGAGGUGGGCAA
rnacentral:tRNA from 1 species